CCCAACAAUCAACACGACCUCUUUCCUCUCUCUCUCUCUCGGUCGGCAACCCUGGUCACGGCGCUCCCAUCGCCACCUUAGCCGCCGCCUCCUAUGCCGUAAUCAUCCCCGUCGUUCAACCCCAUCCCUCUGGGUCCAUCUCCCUGUCUUUCGCGAGGGGAUCUAGCGCGAGGAAUCUAGUGGACGUGCGGGAUGCGGGUGCCUGAUCCUCGCGCGACAUGCAGCGUGGAGUCUCCCAACAUCAUGCCGGAGCCCAAACAGUGGAUCCGUUCUUUGAUCUCCCCUGUCGGUGGCUGAGGCAUGGCGAUGUGCCGAUGCAGCUCCCGAUCUCUUAACGAAGAAAAAGAAUCCAGUGAGACUUAGGUGUGCCGUCGGCCAUCACGGGUCCAUCACCCAGACAAUGGGAGUCAUGUGGGAAGGGGCUGAAGAGAAAGACUGGUGGCGGAGAGAACCCAAGACAUGUUGCGGCGACCAGGUUAUGCAGGACUGGUAGAACCCUAGCUGGUGGAGGCCGCCAUGAGAUCGUGCAGAGGGAGGCGGACGGGAGAAGGCCGAUGGGUGUUUCAGUUAGUGCUACAGAAUCAUCGCUAGUCUUUGCUCGCUGCCUCCUGCUUCACAGUUCAAGCUGAGUUAAUAAGAAAUUUGGUUGUGUUAGCGUUACAUGGAACGACAACUCUGAAGCAUGGGGAAAAGCAAUGCCAUGAGCCUUGGUAUCUGGUGCAAGCUGGAGGAGCUGCCUAAAUGCAUGUGGAGAUGUUCAUAUUACUGAGUAGUGUAAUAUUCAGAACAUUAAGUGAUAAAUUAAAAUCUUCUCUUUGGAAUGUGGUUGAGUCGUUAAGAUCUGUUGAUUUGUAGACAUUAUUUGGUAAUUAGUGUGCAAUAGCAUAAUGAUUCCUUCUUGGUGCAAGGAAUUUCUAGACAUGACGACAAUAUCUAUGUACGUCAACAGUUGCUUUGGUUUAACUUUUUUACGAAGCAUAAGCCAGAAAGUCUUAUGGUAUAUGAAACACAAUUUUGGUUUGUAGUUGAGUUGCAUGAUGGAAGUCAUAGCAAUCUAAAUGAUAAGAAGCAAU